CACAACUUUUGCCCAAAGCCUGGUUUCCUUAUGGUCGUAACGGUCGUAAAGAUUGAGUCACGAUCUUUUUCAACAGCCGAAAUACAACUGAAAAUAGGCAGAGUGAUAAUACAUAAAGAAUAUCUAUGAUUUAAAUGUGGUUUACAGGUAAAAACUAUUAUAAUCUGGCCGAUGAGAAAGAUCGUAACUUUACCUUUAUGACUGUUGCAACCAUAUAUGGAAACCUGGCUUAAAACUGUUGCAUGCAACGUGCUUACAACUUGAGCUGUACUGUGUAAUUGGAGAUGUGUUUGGCUGCAUGAUCAGAUUAAAACAUAUCAACUGCCCUUAUGAGAGAUGAGGCGAGCCAGCCCGGGUACCCAAGCUGGCCUGGUUUAAGGGUGCCCAGGCUGGAAAAUUUCCAUACAAA